rnacentral:rRNA from 1 species
CAGGCUGCUGCAACUGUUUAUUAAAAACACAGCACUCUGCAAACACGAAAGUGGACGUAUAGGGUGUGAUGCCUGCCCGGUGCUGGAAGGUUAAUUGAUGGGGUUAGCGUAAGCGAAGCUCUUGAUCGAAGCCCCAGUAAACGGCGGCCGUAACUAUAACGGUCCUAAGGUAGCGAAAUUCCUUGUCGGGUAAGUUCCGACCUGCACGAAUGGCAUAAUGAUGGCAGCGCUGUCUCCAGCAGAGACUCAGUGAAAUCGAAAUCGCAGUGAAGAUGCUGUGUACCCGCGGCUAGACGGUAAGACCCCGUGAACCUUUACUACAGCUUUACAUUGAACUUUGACCUGACUUGUGCAGGAUAGGUGGGAGGCUUUGAAGCAGAUACGCCAGUAUUUGUGGAGCCAACCUUGAAAUACCACCCUGGUUAUGUUGGGGUUCUAACUUAGAUAUAACAGUAUCAAGGACAAUGUAUGGUGGGUAGUUUGACUGGGGCGGUCUCCUCCUAAAGAGUAACGGAGGAGUACGAAGGUGCGCUCAGAACGGUCGGAAAUCGUUCAAAGAGUAUAAAGGCAAAAGCGCGCUUAACUGCGAGACCCACAAGUCGAGCAGGUACGAAAGUAGGUCUUAGUGAUCCGGUGGUUCUGUAUGGAAGGGCCAUCGCUCAACGGAUAAAAGGUACUCUGGGGAUAACAGGCUGAUACCGCCCAAGAGUUCAUAUCGACGGCGGUGUUUGGCACCUCGAUGUCGGCUCAUCUCAUCCUGGGGCUGAAGCAGGUCCCAAGGGUAUGGCUGUUCGCCAUUUAAAGAGGUACGCGAGCUGGGUUUAGAACGUCGUGAGACAGUUCGGUCCCUAUCUACCGUGGGCGUUGGAAAUUUGAGAGGAUCUGCUCCUAGUACGAGAGGACCAGAGUGGACGAACCUCUGGUGUUUCGGUUG